CGAGUGAGCGGCAAAAGCUCAAAUUUGAAAUCUGGUACCUUUGGUGCCCGAGUUGUAAUUUGGAGAGUACCACUUUGGGACUGUACUUUGCCUAUGUUCCUUGGAACAGGACGUCAUGGAGGGUGAGAAUCCCGUGUGGCGAGGGUGUCAGUUCUUUGUAAAGGGUGCUCGAAGAGUCGAGUUGUUUGGGAAUGCAGCUCUAAGUGGGUGGUAAAUUCCAUCUAAAGCUAAAUACAGGCGAGAGACCGAUAGCGAACAAGUACAGUGAUGGAAAGAUGAAAAGAACUUUGAAAAGAGAGUGAAAAAGUACGUGAAAUUGUUGAAAGGGAAGGGCAUUUGAUCAGACAUGGUGUUUUGCGCCCCUUGCCUCUCGUGGGCUUGGGACUCUCGCAGCUCACUGGGCCAGCAUCGGUUUUGGCGGCCGGAAAAAACCUAGGGAAUGUGGCUCUGCGCCUCGGUGUAGAGUGUUAUAGCCCUGGGGAAUACGGCCAGCCGGGACCGAGGACUGCGAUACUUGUUAUCUAGGAUGCUGGCAUAAUGGUUAUAUGCCGCCCGUCUUGA
rnacentral:rRNA from 1 species